rnacentral:rRNA from 1 species
GACAGAGGGUGCAAACGUUGUUCGGAAUUACUGGGCGUAAAGCGCGUGUAGGCGGCUAGGUAAGUCAGGCGUGAAAUCCCACGGCUCAACCGUGGAAGUGCACCUGAUACUGCAUAGCUAGAGUCCUGGAGAGGAAGGUGGAAUGCUUGGUGUAGAGGUGAAAUUCGUAGAUAUCAAGCGGAACACCGGUGGACGAAGGCGGCCUUCUGGACAGUGACUGACGCUGAGACGCGAAAGCGUGGGAGC